rnacentral:lncRNA from 1 species
CAGGGCGUGAACCAGAGUGAAAACAGAUACCUUUACAAGUGUCAUCGUAGCAUAUACGAAGGUGAUCGGAUGUUCCUUCAAUUAACCUUAACGCCAUCGUCGAUGUUACGACCAUUACAAUUGAUAUUCUUAAUGACAUAAACUAAUUAAGCCUCAAUUUAAAUGCAGAGAUCUGAGUUGAAUUAGGAAAUUGCCAGUAAAUUUGGACGUAGAAAACAACAACAAUCUCAGUUACAACAACAAUAACUAUUACUACUACUGCUCCUACCACCUCCACCAUCAGCGAUGUGUACGCCUUCCUAUCUAUUCCUUGUUCUCUUUAUCGCAUUCACUGACAAAAUCAAAGG